AACGGCCCGCCAAGCCGAUAAUGGGUAGGGGCCGUGAGAGCGGGAGCCCCCAGAUGGGCACUGAGACAAGGGCCCAGGCCUACGGGGCGCACCAGGCGCGAAACCUCCGCAAUGCGGGAAACCGUGACGGGGCCACCCCGAGUGCCCCCGUUACGGGGGCUUUUCCCCGCUGUAGGAAGGCGGGGGAAUAAGCGGGGGGCAAGUCUUGUGUCAGCCCGCCGCGGUAAUACCAGCCCCGCGAGUGGUCGGGACGAUUAUUGGGCCUAAAGCGCCCGUAGCCGGCUCGACAAGUCUCCUCCUAAAUCCCCGGGCUCAACCCGAGGAUUGGAGGAGAUACUGUCGAGCUAGGGGGUGGGAGAGGCCGAGGGUACUCCCGGGGUAGGGGCGAAAUCCUAUAAUCCCGGGAGGACCACCAGUGGCGAAGGCGCUCGGCUGGAACACGCCCGACGGUGAGGGGCGAAAGCCGGGGGAGCGAACCGGAUUAGAUACCCGGGUAGUCCCGGCUGUAAACGAUGCGGGCUAGGUGUUGGGUGGGCCUAGAGCCCACCCAGUGCCGCAGGGAAGCCGUUAAGCCCGCCGCCUGGGAGUACGGCCCNCNA
rnacentral:rRNA from 1 species